CGCGUUAUUCACGUCAUUGGUGCUGCUACUGCAUCCACGGCGGUGGUCGUUCUAUCUCUCGAUCGCUCGCUCAUACAGAUUGCGGGCGCUCGCAUGCGUACUUCCACCACACUUAAGUGCAUGCGCGCACACACACAGAAGGUUUGGUGCCGCGCACGUUGUUUCAGUACACGCUGGCAUGUUCUGUGGUAGUCGGCGGGUCUACCGAGCCGCUCUCUUCCACGGCGCGUCGUUGCCGCGCAAGUACAUCUCGCUAGGAGGAUGGUGCGGCCCAGCGUUGAUGUUGGGGAAGCUCGGCCUGCGCACGGAGGCCUACCCGUUCGAUUUCAGUCGCGUCACCCUUGAUGGACUGAUGCACUUCAUCCGGAACGGCUUUGCGGAGGGCUUCUACCCGCCUGGGCCGCCGCCGUACCGACCCGAGUGUGUGGGGCCGUGGGUGCUCUUCCGCGGACAGCACACGGCCUUUGCGCACUUCGACCUCAACGACCCACACGUGCAGGCCCACUUCCAAGUAAAGAUGCGCCGCUUCGACGCGGUGCUGGACUCCCCGGAGAGGCCCGUCACGUUUUUCCGCACCGUCACGGCGCGCUAUCCUCAAGAGGAGUUGGCGCUCGCCCUCGAUCUGGAGGAAGCCGUUGCGCGCCGCAACCCUUCCCUCGACUUCCGUAUUGUCUUCAUGGUGCACGACCAAGGGCUGCGCGCCAACGCGGUGCAGCUGGCCCCGCUCUCGCCGCGGGUAACUCUCUGGACGCUGCAGUACCGCGGCUUGCCUGGCGACACGCUCUUUGACCGCACACACACCGCCUACCGCACCGUCAUGAUGCACAGCGUCGCGGAAAGCAACUGGCCUGCCGUCAACGUAGGCGCUGCCACUCCGCCACCAGCGACGGUGGCGUCCGCAGAAGCACGGGAUUUCGAAAGCGGGGCGCUCCGCUGUGAUGGCACCAUUCGGACCGACGACGUCCCCCUUGCCGAUCUCACCGUGGCGCGCUUCCCAUGGCGUGGCCACGACAACUUGGCCUUGAUCAACGGUGUCGCCAGCGUCGGCGGCACGUGCGCUGGCAUCGGCAGCACAAAGAUGCUCGAAGACACCUCUGCCGCGCCGCAGGUGGAGGGGCGAGUGCGACGAAAGUGUCGUUACUGCGGCGACGCGACCUAUCACGCGGCAGGGCGGCCCUUCCGAACUGAGCGCCCUUUCACCGACGAGGAGGAUCAGCUCGUGCUCAUCCACCUCUACCAGAUCCUCACGGGCGGGGACAAGGUAGCUGCGGUGGAGAAACUCGCACAUGAGAUGCAGCGCGGCACGUACGAGGUGAUUUGCCGUAUCCAGCACUUGACGAACUCCAGCACGAAGCUCAUGGAUUCCAUUGACCCCGCCAGCCCAUCCGACUCGUAGUGCCUUCCAACCCCCUUCACGGGCGGUGCAGGUAUUGUGUGCGUGCGCCGAUGGAUGUCAUCCCGCACAUCACUCAUGUGCGAUGGCGCCUUUCCUUUCGGUGCCGGUCGCAGUAAACCGGCGCGUGCAAGUAUGUGUCCGCGUAGGUGUGCGAGCGCGCCGAGACACGCUUGCGCUCUGCGCUGCAGCAUGUCUAUUUCUCUGCCAUGCAACAUGAGGUCGAACCCCACUCUUGCACCGGGCCCUGUCACAGGCCCCUAUCGCCUGGUGCGAAGCAGCUGCAGAGACACACGUGACAGCAGUGCACCAACUCGGUCAUCUGAGGGCUCGGCCUCCGCCUCAAACUCUAGCCGCCACCCACCCGCCCUCACAGGUCGCCCCGCAGCCGCUCACGUUGUGCCGGUCGCCACACGGUGCGAUCCCAUCGCGAUGGCACAGGCUCCCCAACAGUAGCAGGACGGUGUGAGAGCCGGGGGUGGGAUGCGUUCGAGUCACGCCGACACUCUCUGCCCAUCACAUGAAUCGUGUGUGUGCGCUGUCGCAGGUUGCUCCAGUGCAACGCCAUCCGGCACCUGACGGCCGCCAUCCGCAGCGCCAUCUUACUCUGACCUCCCUACGUUGUAGGUGCUUGACCCUGUCACCAGGAGAAGCGGUCCCGCACUGGCAGGGAUAUAGGAGGGAGAGGAGGGGGCGCUGCUGGGCUUCCUCCCCAGAGACAGAGUUGGGGUGCACGGAUGACCCCCCCCCCGGGAGCGCCACGCGCUGCCGGGUGCCCCCACCCCACCCCGUCUCACCAUGGCGUAGACACUCUAGGCUGGUGUCUAAAAAGGCUUGAUAUGGGGCACUCCUGCGUGUCGAUGUGUAGCUACGCCAACCACACCCUCUGCUCCCUCUGUUUCUCCAUCAUUGUGGGCCUCUUCGCCGGUGCUGACGCCUCCGCCCAG
rnacentral:misc_RNA from 1 species